rnacentral:rRNA from 1 species
UUACCAGCUUGACAUGAAGGAGACUCCCUUCGGAACAGGUGCUGCAUGGCUGUCGUCAGCUCGUGUCGUGAGAUGCUCGGUUAAGUCCGGCAACGAGCGCAACCCUGUCUCAGUUGCCAGCAUAUGGGACUCUGAGAUACUGCCCCGGUUAAGGGGAGGAAGGUGGGGAUGACGUCAAGUCCUCAUGGCCCUUAUGCUGGGCUACACACGUGCUACAAUGGGGUACAAGAGGCACAGCGAUGUUAGCAAUCUGUAAACCGCCUCAGUUCGGAUUGGAGUCUGCAACUCGACUCCAUGAAGUUGGAAUCGCUAGUAAUCGCGAUCAGCAUGCGCGGUGAAUACGUUCCCGGGCCUUGUACACACCGCCCGUCACACCAUGAGAGUUGAUGACCGAA